CACCAGGGGGAGGAGGGGGCGGGUGUAAUUUGUUUUAAACCACCCCGUAUUGUUUCUCUGGAGGAAAACUCACCAUUGAUAUUCCCACAUUAUGUCUCUGGUGGAUAUAAGAUAGAUGCAGUCUUACCAGAGAUUUGAGUCACCGGAGCGGUUCCUGUGCUGUAGCCCUUCUCCGCGUACACCUGCCGGGUGUCGGCACAGCUCCUCCCAGCAGCAGCCACGGGACUCCGGCUCCCCGACAGUGAACACACCGCACAGAGAAGCACCAGUAGCGGGUACCUGGAGGAAGAAGAGCGGGUAUCCAUCUUCACCGCAGGACGUAGAAAAAGAGAGCAGGAGAGAGGGCGGCUUUAUAUAAAACCAGACGGGUGCAGCACCUUUUAAAAAUGAAUGAAUGGCCGGUUUGGAUGCACGCAAAAGUAAAAACAGUAUCCUAAAUCGUUAGUCGUUUGAAAGAGUCAUAGUUUUCCCGAUAAGUGCAGUGAACAGAUGCAUCCGGGCUGGUUUUUUCAUCACACAUAUGUCUCCAUGCACCGUGACCAGUUAAUUUACAGUCCUUCCUGGGAGAUCCUCUGUUGUACGUAAAUGUAAAGGGAGUGUGAAUGGGGCACUCCCGUCGCUCAGCCUCAUCCAGCACACUCUGUCAAGUGUGCUGGGCUGGCAGCACGAUACCGGAUGAGACUGUUUUCAAAAUAAAAAGCUAUUUUUAAUGUUUGAACAAGGCA